rnacentral:rRNA from 1 species
AUUGAACGCUGGCGGCAGGCCUAACACAUGCAAGUCGAGCGGAGCGACUUACGGGUGAGUAAUUCCUAGGUAUCUGCCCGGCCGUGUGGGAUAACGUCCGGAAACGGGCCCUAAUAUCGCACCCUAUCAGAUUAGCUUAGGUCGGAUUAGCUAUUUGGUUGGGUAAAGGCCUACAAAGGCGACGACCCGUAGCAGGUCUGAGAGGAUGAUCAGUCACACUGGGACUGAGACACGGUCCAGACUCCGACGGGAGGCAGCAGUGGGGAAUCUUGGGCAAUGGGCGAAAUCCUGAUCCAGCAAUGCCGCGUGUGUGAAGAAGGUCGUCGGAUUGUAAAGCUCUUUAGGUUGAGAAGCGUUACCAACAGAAUAAGCACCGGCUAACUUCGUGCCAGCAGCCGCGGUAAUAC